UACGUAGGCAGCGAGCGUUGUUCGGAGUUACUGGGCGUAAAGAGUGCGUAGGCGGUGUCGAAAGUUUGGCGUGAAAUCUCCCGCUUAACUGGGAGGGUGCGCCGAAAACUGCGAUGCUGGAGUGUGGGAAAGGCAAGCGGAAUUCCUGGUGUAGCGGUGAAAUGCGUAGAUAUCAGGAGGAACACCGGCGGUGUAGACGGCUUGCUAGACCAUAACUGACGCUGAGGCACGAAAGCGUGGGUAGCAAACAG
rnacentral:rRNA from 1 species